CUCUCUCUCUCUCUCUCUCUCUCUCUCUCUCUAUGUAUGUAUGUAUAUAAAUGCGUAUUUACACGUACAUAUAUAAAAUCAACAUGUGCCAGUGUUGAAUUAUAGAAGAUCCCUAUGUUGGAUUCUUAACACUUGGACACUUGACACCUUUGUCAUGUGUCCAACUAGCAUUGCUGAAACAUGGCUUACCUUAUGAACAUGUUAGUUUUGCUUGGAGUAAAUAAGAGUCAUUGUGACACUAAAGUUACCAACAAAUCCCUUUCAGCUACAGACUCAGUCUACAUUCCGAAUGCAUACCUCUCUUAUAAUCAUGACCAUUUUCAAUUACAAUAUUUAGAGAAGAUACCUUCCCAAAUGAUUUCUAGCAAUUAGGUUCUUACAGUUUUAUCGGUAAUAUAAGUUAUAGAAGGAAGAAUUUUUGGGCUGUCUGUGCUUUGAUUCUCCAUGCAGGAUGCAGUUAUCUAAUUUUAAAACACAUAUGGUAUGUGUGCUCCAUCUUGCUAAUAUCAAUAUUUUAUGUUUGUGGUAAGAUAUUAUAUUUUAUUGUGCAUUCUUGUUUCCCUUCUGAUUUCAGAUGAUUUGUUAUCAGACAUUUUUGUUUUUGUUUUUUGUUGAUUGGUUGUGAGGAUCACUUUCCUUUCUACACGAUGAAAGAUUCAAAUUCAGUGUUUGUUCUAAGUCUCAUUAUUUGUUUUUCCAGCAUUCUUUUAUUUAACAGUCCUGUGUCUCUGCGACCAAAUAAGACCACCAAAAUAAGUUAGGAUUUUAUAAUGGGAAGCCAAAAUUUGAUUUUCGCAAGCAUAUGGUGCAAGCGCUUGAAGCUGAUUUGAGGAAAGUUGCUGGUAUAAGUUGGUAUCUUUGGAUCUUUGUGGUCAUUUCCUUGUUGCUGAAAGUUAAUGGCACUAAAUUGGAGUAUCAUUACUCAGUUGGCUCAUGAGAUUGCUAAAAACAUUCAGCAAUUGAAAGCAAUGCGCUAGUCAAGGCAUCAAAUGAUCACCUCUGGUCCCACCUGUGGAUCUUCCUGUACUUGGUUCACUUCAUACUCUUUUUUCUGUCUUAGAGAUUUCAUUUUGCUUCUGUAUACUGGAAACCGAUACAGAAAGAACAUAAUUUUGGAUCGCUCUGGAGCUCAAUGCAUCAAAAGAUGUGUAUUUAUAUCCACCCAAAAAAGGAAUUUUAAGCACUGAUCAGUUUCUAUAUAAAUUUGCACUCUUUUCUUAAGGAUAUGACAAAACUAGAUCUUUUU